rnacentral:rRNA from 1 species
AUUGAACGCUGGCGGCAGGCCUAACACAUGCAAGUCGAACGAGUGGCGGACGGGUGAGUAAUGUCUGGGAAACUGCACGAUGGAGGGGGAUAACUACUGGAAACGGUAGCUAAUACCGCAUACCAUCGGAUGAGCCCAGAUGGGAUUAGCUUGUAGGUGAGGUACCGGCUCACCUAGGCGCAGAUCCCUAGCUGGUCUGAGAGGAUGACCAGCCACACUGGAACUGAGACACGGUCCAGACUCCGACGGGAGGCACCAGUUGGGAAUAUGGAACAAUGGGCGCAAGCCGUAUGCUGCCAUGCCGCGUGUAUGAAGAAGGCCUUCGGGUUGUAAAGUACUUUCAGCGGGGAGGCGUUACCCGCAGCAGAAGCACCGGCUAACUCCGUGCCAGCAGCCGCGGUAAUUC